UACGAAGGGGGCGAGCGUUGUUCGGAGUUACUGGGCGUAAAGGGCGCGUAGGCGGCGCUCCAAGUUAGGCGUGAAAGCCCCGGGCUCAACCUGGGAAUUGCGCUUAAGACUGGAGUGCUCGAGUGCGGAAGAGGUGAGUGGAAUUCCCAGUGUAGAGGUGAAAUUCGUAGAUAUUGGGAAGAACACCAGUGGCGAAGGCGGCUCACUGGUCCGCAACUGACGCUGAGGCGCGAAAGCGUGGGGAGCGAACAGG
rnacentral:rRNA from 1 species